rnacentral:ncRNA from 1 species
CCAGCUAUGUAUUGACCAUUUAGUGUGCGACAACUGAAAAACUCUGCAGGAAUUCGUAGCUGUGUUGACGUGCAAAUCACUUGCCCGACUUGUGCAUAGGAGCGAAAGACUAAUCGAACCAUUUAGUAGCUGG